UAUCACAGUCUAACGAUGAUGC
rnacentral:siRNA from 1 species